rnacentral:lncRNA from 1 species
CUUACACUUCUAAUGAUAUUUUAUUUUUUUAUCCAGACAUUCUCUUUAAGACUUCUCCAAAAAGUAGUGAUGUGGUCCACCUUGCUACUACUAUUUUCCUUGGGCCUUCACCAGCAUUCAGCUUGUUGUCAACACUCAUUAAAAUUCUUGGAACCUUGCUCCAAACAGAUUACAUCACCCUAUUGUAUGUGUAGAUAAAGGGAGACUCACAUAAAUGGGGAACCCCCAAGAGUUCGUGAGUCAUAAAAAUGCUCUGGUGCCACUUCACAGAUCUCUUCAGUGUAGUGAGUACUUUUCAUUUAGAUGUGGUCUUUAUUUCUUUGUCAUAGAAUUCCAUGAGGUCAUAAUGGUAUUAACAUAUAAGAACUAGGAAAAAGAAAGUCACCUAUAAAAACUAAUAUGUUUGCAAUUCUAAUGGCUUUGAAUGCUGUCCUAUUUGCAAGAUGAAAUAACUAACUUACUUCCCAGUUUUCUUUAUCUAGAUAUAGAUAAAGAAAAGCUUCCCUAAUAUUUCCUCAAUGCACAUGUUGUGUUAAUAAUCUAAAAUUUUUAAUUUAUGAUUUUUAAUUUUUUUAAAUUUAUUUUAUGUAUAUGCAUAUACUAUAGCUGUCUUCAGGCAUACCAAAAGAGGUCAUCAGAUCCCAUUACAGAUUAUUGUGAACCACUGUGUGAUUUCUGAGAAUUGAUCUCAGGACUUCUGGAAGAGCAGUCAGUGCUCUAAAACACUGAGCCAUCUUUUCAGCCCCCACAAACUUAAAUGUAAGUAAAAGUUGAAACAGAUAUUUAAUAAUAGCCCACUGGCAAUUCUUAACACACUGUGAUAUAUCUUCAGGUCAAUAUUAUUAAACUCAUCAUCCAUUUAUUGAAUCAUAAGGAAGAACAGUUUGCUAAUUAUACUUUAAAACAAGCAUAGCUAAUUUUUUCUGAGUUAUUAUUUUUUCUGAGUAAGGGGAAUGGGGAGAAUGUCAUCAAAGCAUACAAUAAUUUCAAAUUUCCAAGUGCUGAAAUGAUGGAAGUAUUGUAGUUAAGCUCAUUAGACUUGUAAUGAAAAUUGGAUUCUAAUUGUAUGCCUUAAAAUCUAAAUAUUUCUAGAGAAGAGUUAUGUGUCUAAUAAAAGGCAGCACCAUUACUUGAACA